rnacentral:rRNA from 1 species
GAGUUUGAUCGUGGCUCAGAUUGAACGCUGGCGGCAUGCCUUACACAUGCAAGUCGAACGGUAACAGGUCUUUCGGGAUGCUGACGAGUGGCGAACGGGUGAGUAAUACAUCGGAACGUGCCUAGUAGUGGGGGAUAACUACUCGAAAGAGUGGCUAAUACCGCAUGAGAUCUAUGGAUGAAAGCAGGGGACCUUCGGGCCUUGUGCUACUAGAGCGGCCGAUGGCAGAUUAGGUAGUUGGUGGGAUAAAAGCUUACCAAGCCUACGAUCUGUAGCUGGUCUGAGAGGACGAUCAGCCACACUGGGACUGAGACACGGCCCAGACUCCUACGGGAGGCAGCAGUGGGGAAUUUUGGACAAUGGGCGCAAGCCUGAUCCAGCAAUGCCGCGUGCAGGAUGAAGGCCUUCGGUU